GACGAACGCUGGCGGCGUGCUUAACACAUGCAAGUCGAGCGGAGCGGCGAACGGGCGAGUAACGCGUGAGUAACUGCCCCCCUCCCUGGGGUAACAGUUGGAAACGGCUGCUAAUACCGGAUAGUGGGGGAUGACUCGGGUCCUAUCAGCUUGUUGGUGGGGUAGUGGCCUGCCAAGGCGACGACGGGUAGCCGGCCUGGGAGGGCGACCGGCCACAUUGGGCUGAGGUACGGCGCAAACGCCAACGGGGGGCAGCAGUGGGGAAUAUUGCGCAAUGGGGGAAACCCUGAGGCAGCAACGCCGGGUGCGGGAUGUCGGCCUUCGGGUUGUAAACCGCUUUCAGCCAUUACGCGGUAGUGGCAGAAGAAGCACCGGCUAACUACGUGCCAGCAGCCGCGGUAAUAC
rnacentral:rRNA from 1 species